GGAGAUAAACACAACGUUGCAUAGACAAAUCAGACAAAUCACGACCUACUAGUAGGUCGUGAGACAAAUAACACGUUCAGUAUUCAUAACCUGCAUCGAUUGUAUGAUAUUUCGAUGUGCAGCUCACAGCUCUGAUGGAGUUGUGCUCACAUGAAAAUGGUUCUCCAAUUAAUGCAGGAACACACAUCGCACAGAUACAUGGCUGUCGCAAGCAAAAGGCAAAAGCAGGUGAAACGCUUUUGGAACAGUGCAAAGCCAUCACUUGACAGCGCUGCAGUUUACUUUGAGUACGUGCUAGUGCUAUACAAUUUGUAUGUUAUGGCAUGUGACUGUCUUCUGGCGGGAGUUUGCGGCUCUUCGCAGACGACAUUGUGGAAUCCAUUCGUCUGCGUCAUCAAAGCCCGUCUGUAGGAGCAGGUCGCACAGUGCCGUGUUUAGUCUAAUACACCCUGGAUGCAACAGAGGAAGAGAAAGAGGUCUGCCUAAACUGGAUCACGGGCCUGACCAAAGUGGUAGCAGUCUCUCACCUUCAUCAAGGACAGCAGUCUUCUCAACCAGAGCAGCAGGGAAUGUCUACACCAAAGUGGACCACUGACUGUGGUAAUGUAUUGGUAUGAUGGUACUGGUACGAGUGUGGACAACAUUUUAGAACGCUGGCGAGCCAUGAUCUAGUACAACAAGUGUACGUAGUUUUCAUGUUGCAUAAUUUGUUCUGUUGCUGCGUUUUGUCAUGACGGCUUUUAAGGGCCUCCAAGAUAUCAUCACUGUAUUGGUUAGGCUGGAUCAGUGACCUGGCAAAGGUGGUACCAGUCCCUCACUUCCAAGUCUUCUCAACCAGAGUAGCAGGGUACAACUACACCGAAAUGGACCACUGACUGUGGUAAUGUAUUAAUACGAUGGAAUUUGCACAAGUGUCAGCAACCUUUAAAAAGGCUGCCAUCCAUGAGCCAAUAGAAAUAGUGUGCUACAUGUUUUUUUUUGUGUGUGUGUUGCCUAAUUUCUUUGGUUGCUGUGUUUUGUCAUUGAUGACUUGUGAGGGCCACCAAGAUAUCAUCACUAUGCUGGUUAGUCAUUGAGGUUCAUCUUCUGUUUUUCACAUGCGCAUGAUUUUGCAGUUGGUGAGGCUCUCAUCCUCACAGGACAUCAUCAUCAUUCGUAUGACCUUCCGAGGCUCCUUCCUCAAACUUUUUUUACCUGUGUCUGUUCCUAUAGUCGUGUUCAACUUAAGAAGGAAAAGAAAUUAGUCCAUCAGCUCUCAAGACAUUACUUAGACAGGAUGGCUGGACACAGAGAGGUCACAUGCUUGCUCCUCUGCCAGAUUAUGUAAUGCAUCAUACUCACUCUGCUUCCAUAUUGGCUGUUAAGACUGGUCACAUGACACUACGCUGCAUGGUGGCGCUGCCGUAUUCUCUUGGCACGCUAUUGCAGCUCCGUAUGUAGUUGACGGACUAGAUUUCUUUUUCUUUCUUAAGUUGAACACGAGUAUAGUUUUAUUUGCUGCACCAUGUCUAGGCCAUCACGUUUAUUUUUGUUUUUAUUUAUUACGUACAAUUACAACGGUCAAUAACAUCCGAAAACAUAAAGCUGAGCACCCAGUGGGAAAUGAUCCCUUGGCCAACUGCGCGUUACCAACUACCCCAUUGCAGUCAUCGUGUCCUGUCUUCCUCUCUGUUACGGUUCUUCGUUUUCGGGUUAAACCCGAUUUUUCACAAUAGUUACCCCCCCCUCCUUGCGGUCCUUCAACUUGUCGUUCUAGGUAAACUGUCGGGAAAAGUGAAUCGUAAUAUCAAAGGGAGCUAUUUGUGACAACCUAUUUGCCCUCCUUUUAUAAUCCCCUCCUGCAGGAGUGAAAGGCGAGCUUUUGUGUAGCUUGGGUAAGUGUUUGAAUGCCGCGGUCAUUUACUGCCCCAGUUCCGAGCAGAAAUAUAAAGAUUCUUGUUUCUCGUCCCAGUGUCACGACAGUGGCUUGUUUCGUAUGCCUUUCUUUUCACCCGACAAUUCCCCAAUGACAUAUCAAACAGAGAUCGUAGUGCCCGAUUCGUCCCCAAAUUCUCGUGUGUAAAUAGCACCCAAUUUUUUCCCAGCGAAUUUGGAAAAUCAUAAAACCCGAAAACGAAGGGCCCUACUCUGUGUUUGUCCCUAGUCUUAUUUGCUGCGACAUGUCUACGCCGUCGCGUUACUAACUACCCCGGUCCCGGAUAUCUACGGUGCUCCAAUAAUGACGAAACUGCUGUCGAGUGUCGGUACGGAGAGGUUUGAGUUAUUAUCUCGAGUAUGUACAUAACGCGCAUGUGGUGGAUUGGUGGCAAUAUUUGUUAGCAGGGAGCUUUAUCAAAUCAUAUUCUUGUUUCUCCCUUUACUGGGCUCCGUAAUUUAUUACAGACUAAGCUAAUCAUGGGCCACAGGAGUGUUUGAAAGCACCGCAAAGAAGUGACCAUAUGGGGGCGUUCCUUGAGAGUAACAUAAAAGUUCGCCCUCCUAUUGGUCACCCAUUUUAUGUGUACUCAUCCACUGUGAGGGUCUGUGUGUGUUUGUCCUUUUUGUCCGUGCUUCUCGGUUUUCCUCCACGAUACCUUUCCACUAAAUAGUUGUACUAAUUAGGUAAACAACUUAGACAACAUUAUGAGCACAAUGAUUUUAUUUACAUUUCAUUGCACUUCCACCAUUAGAUAGUUCACAACAUGGACUCGGUCAUUAAACGCGCAACUUGCUCACCAUUUGCUACAUACGUAAAGCCGGCAUUUACGAGCCCCUAACAGUGCUGGGUUACUAUAAAACAUUUCAACAUCUGUCAUCACUGCCAGCUUUGCAGGGGCACUCUCAACGAAUGCAAAGCAAGCCAUCAAAAGGCCUUUUCUAAUUCAAUAUACAUUUGGUUAUGGCUUAACGAUUGCAAAACAUGAUUAUACAAAGUGAAAUUUGAAGGCACUGGCAUGGACCUGGAAAAAAUAGCUGCAGUGUAUCCAUCGGGAACUAUAGUGACUUACUGCCAUUCCUGAUGCAUUGUUAAAACAGUGGACAGGAAUUGCUACCUCGUACAUUAAAAGCUACAGUUAAAUGAAUAGCGAAAGUCUCAAACGUGGAAUUGAGUAUGGAGUAGUGCACAUUAACGAGUUUGGAAGACAUGCAGAUGGUGGAUAUGAUGUGGCGCAAGGAUGUGUAGCCAGGAUGCUGUGGAGCGUUAAAGCCUUGACGGGUCUGUAUUUUAGAGAUGUACAAUACAAGCUGUCACACCAAGAUCAGAAGAUGAGUGUGGUAUGGUUUUCUUCUUUUGUGUACAGUGUGUAGCAGUGAUUUUCUUUGCACAGAAAUAUGCCUUAACACUGCAAACCAUUUGGUUGUGCGCAUCUUCUUUAAAAUCCUUAUGCCUUUUUUUCCUUGUAAACGGUGCAGAAGGACUUGGUGAAAGAGCUGGCAAAGCUAAAACACUUUAGUCACGCUGUGCAGACAUGUGACAUGUUUGAACAUGAGAAAGUAUGAGCGUCUAAUCUCUCCCAGGGACAAAGUUUACAGAAGAGAAAUAAUUGAUCAAUAAAUAUAAAUUUUGUGUUUGA